UGCCACAGCCAUAUCCCCCUGCAGCCCAAGACUGGUUGCCCACUGAAGCUAAGCAGGGUUGAGCUUGGUCAGUACCUGGAUGGGAGACCUCCUGGGAAAACUAGGUUGCUGUUGAGG
rnacentral:rRNA from 1 species